rnacentral:rRNA from 1 species
CCUACGGGCGGCAGCAGUGGGGAAUAUUGCACAAUGGGCGCAAGCCUGAUGCAGCGACGCCGCGUGGGGGAUGACGGCCUUCGGGUUGUAAACUCCUUUCGCCAAAGACGAAUUUGGACGGUAUUUGGAGAAGAAGCACCGGCUAACUACGUGCCAGCAGCCGCGGUAAUACGUAGGGUGCGAGCGUUGUCCGGAAUUACUGGGCGUAAAGAGCUCGUAGGUGGUUUGUCGCGUCGUUUGUGGAAGUCCACGGCUUAACUGUGGGACUGCAGGCGAUACGGGCAUAACUUGAGUGCUGUAGGGGAGACUGGAAUUCCUGGUGUAGCGGUGAAAUGCGCAGAUAUCAGGAGGAACACCGAUGGCGAAGGCAGGUCUCUGGGCAGUAACUGACGCUGAGGAGCGAAAGCAUGGGGAGCGAACAGGAUUAGAUACCCGUGUAGUC